UUUCCGUAGGUGAACCUGCGGAAGGAUCAUUAUCAGGUGGAGCAGGCCUCGCGCUUGCACCUCCCUCCCUUUGUAUAUCGUCAACCGUUGCUCGAGCCGGUGGUCCCCGGGCCCCGGCGAGAGACCACAACCACGCUGUUCUGGAUCGUCUGAGUAAACAUACAAUAGAAUAAAACUUUCAACAACGGAUCUCUUGGUUCCGGCAUCGAUGAAGAACGCAGC
rnacentral:misc_RNA from 1 species